AAAUAAGAUUUAUCGUGAGGAGUCAGCAGAGGCCAUAGUAGUUUCUGAAUGGAAACGAAGGGC
rnacentral:ncRNA from 1 species